rnacentral:rRNA from 1 species
GAACCUUCGGGGGACGAUAACGGCGUCGAGCGGCGGACGGGUGAGUAAUGCCUAGGAAAUUGCCCUGAUGUGGGGGAUAACCAUUGGAAACGAUGGCUAAUACCGCAUGAUGCCUACGGGCCAAAGAGGGGGACCUUCGGGCCUCUCGCGUCAGGAUAUGCCUAGGUGGGAUUAGCUAGUUGGUGAGGUAAGGGCUCACCAAGGCGACGAUCCCUAGCUGGUCUGAGAGGAUGAUCAGCCACACUGGAACUGAGACACGGUCCAGACUCCUACGGGAGGCAGCAGUGGGGAAUAUUGCACAAUGGGCGCAAGCCUGAUGCAGCCAUGCCGCGUGUGUGAAGAAGGCCUUCGGGUUGUAAAGCACUUUCAGUCGUGAGGAAGGUGGUGUAGUUAAUAGCUGCAUUAUUUGACGUUAGCGACAGAAGAAGCACCGGCUAACUCCGUGCCAGCAGCCGCGGUAAUACGGAGGGUGCGAGCGUUAAUCGGAAUUACUGGGCGUAAAGCGCAUGCAGGUGGUUUGUUAAGUCAGAUGUGAAAGCCCGGGGCUCAACCUCGGAAUAGCAUUUGAAACUGGCAGACUAGAGUACUGUAGAGGGGGGUAGAAUUUCAGGUGUAGCGGUGAAAUGCGUAGAGAUCUGAAGGAAUACCGGUGGCGAAGGCGGCCCCCUGGACAGAUACUGACACUCAGAUGCGAAAGCGUGGGGAGCAAACAGGAUUAGAUACCCUGGUAGUCCACGCCGUAAACGAUGUCUACUUGGAGGUUGUGGCCUUGAGCCGUGGCUUUCGGAGCUAACGCGUUAAGUAGACCGCCUGGGGAGUACGGUCGCAAGAUUAAAACUCAAAUGAAUUGACGGGGGCCCGCACAAGCGGUGGAGCAUGUGGUUUAAUUCGAUGCAACGCGAAGAACCUUACCUACUCUUGACAUCCAGAGAACUUUCCAGAGAUGGAUUGGUGCCUUCGGGAACUCUGAGACAGGUGCUGCAUGGCUGUCGUCAGCUCGUGUUGUGAAAUGUUGGGUUAAGUCCCGCAACGAGCGCAACCCUUAUCCUUGUUUGCCAGCGAGUAAUGUCGGGAACUCCAGGGAGACUGCCGGUGAUAAACCGGAGGAAGGUGGGGACGACGUCAAGUCAUCAUGGCCCUUACGAGUAGGGCUACACACGUGCUACAAUGGCGCAUACAGAGGGCGGCCAACUUGCGAAAGUGAGCGAAUCCCAAAAAGUGCGUCGUAGUCCGGAUUGGAGUCUGCAACUCGACUCCAUGAAGUCGGAAUCGCUAGUAAUCGUGGAUCAGAAUGCCACGGUGAAUACGUUCCCGGGCCUUGUACACACCGCCCGUCACACCAUGGGAGUGGGCUGCAAAAGAAGUAGGUAG